UUCGGAAAGACCAGAAUGAUUGCGGGUAGCAGCAUCACACAUCCACUGAUAUUCUCUUUAUGUGUCUAUCUCUCGCGCUUGUUUUAAUGAACUCAUUCCGUGCUGGAUUGUUUCUAGCGCGCAGCGAAUCA
ensembl:ncRNA C29E6.9 ncRNA